UACGUAGGGGGCUAGCGUUGUCCGGAUUUAUUGGGCGUAAAGAGCGUGUAGGCGGCUUGGCAAGUCCGCUGUGAAAACUCGAGGCUCAACCUCGAGACGUCGGUGGAAACUGCCUCGCUAGAGCCCGGAAGAGGAGAGUGGAAUUCCUGGUGUAGCGGUGAAAUGCGCAGAUAUCAGGAAGAACACCCGUGGCGAAAGCGGCUCUCUAGUACGGUACUGACGCUGAGACGCGAAAGCGUGGGGAGCGAACAGG
rnacentral:rRNA from 1 species